rnacentral:misc_RNA from 1 species
AAUAUUAAUGAGGUGAAAAGUUAAUCUAGUCUCUUUUAAGUAUCCAAACAAUAUUAAUGAGGGGUCAAAAGUUAUAAGGGUAAUAAUUACUUCUUGUUAAUCUUAUACUAAAUGCUCCUUCAGUAGUAUUGGGUACAGAUGAUACAAAUAGUUAUCUAUGUUUGGUUAUAGCGUUGUGGUGAUUGGUUUUUGAUGUAUGGUUGUGUCUUGGUUCAAGUUAUAUAAAACUAGCAAUUGAUUUUGUUGUCCCUAAAAGGACUAAAGGAAUACUAUAACGGUUCAGAACUUAAGAUGCAUUUUGGUAGACCUGGCUUGCCUUUUGCUUUUUUGCAAUUGCUUGCAUGCAUUUUAUUCUUAGCUGUUAUACAUGUGAUGGGUCAAUUCUUCUCGACUUCUCCUCCUGGGACAUUACUGACUUAGUUCAGUGCAUAAAGUAAUUAUAAUUAUUUUUGCUACCUUGUUGAAAGAAUAACUCUCCCUGUGACUCAUGAACCUGUGCAGAAAAGAGUGAUAUCAUUAAAUAAGCUUACAGUUUCUACGUUUUUCAGACAACGUAUCCAGCAGUGGCUA